rnacentral:rRNA from 1 species
GUGGGGAAUUUUGGACAAUGGGCGAGAGCCUGAACCAGCCAAGUCGCGUGAAGGAAGAAGGAUCUAUGGUUCGUAAACUUCUUUUGCAGGGGAAUAAAGUGCAGGACGUGUCCUGUUUUGUAUGUACCCUGAGAAUAAGGAUCGGCUAACUCCGUGCCAGCAGCCGCGGUAAUACGGAGGAUCCGAGCAUUAUCCGGAUUUAUUGGGUUUAAAGGGUGCGUAGGUGGUUUGAUAAGUCAGCGGUGAAAGUUUGCAGCUUAACUGUAAAAAUGCCGUUGAAACUGUCGGACUUGAGUGUAAAUGAGGUAGGCGGAAUGCGUGGUGUAGCGGUGAAAUGCAUAGAUAUCACGCAGAACUCCGAUUGCGAAGGCAGCUUACUAAGCUACAACUGACACUGAAGCACGAAAGCGUGGGGAUCAAACAGGAUUAGAUACCCGUGUAGUCC